rnacentral:rRNA from 1 species
UACGUAGGGUGCGAGCGUUGUCCGGAAUUAUUGGGCGUAAAGGGUUCGUAGGUGGCUGACUAAGUCAGACGUGAAAUCCCUCAGCUUAACUGGGGAACUGCGUCUGAGACCGGAGAGCUUGAGUGCAGGAGAGGAACGCGGAAUUCCAGGUGUAGCGGUGAAAUGCGUAGAUAUCUGGAGGAACACCGGUGGCGAAGGCGGCGUUCUGGACUGCAACUGACACUGAGGAACGAAAGCCAGGGUAGCAAACGGG